AGCCCUCGUACCUGCUGCUGACUCCCAGAUCCCUCCGUCCUGGAGUCCCAGCAUCAGUGUCAGUCACCAUCCUGACCAACUCGUCGAUCACUGUAUCUGUUCACAUUGUUCAUGGCAACCAGACCGUGGCCUCACACUCAGCUACAGUUAAAGGAGGUUCAACCAAGCUGCUGACUUUGCCUCCUAUCCAUCAGAGCGAGUCCAGCUACUUGCAGCCUUACAGCCUGGAGGUCAAAGGCCACGUGAGUGGCGUCAAGGUUUUCUCCAACUCAACGCAGCUGGACUUUGACACCAAAGGCCUCUCCACCUUCAUUCAAACAGACAAACUGAACUAUCGGCCCAGGCAGGUGGUGAAGAUCAGAGCGGUGUCCAUUCACCCUGACGGGAAACCUUACAUGAGCCCAGUGGACAUCAUCA